rnacentral:rRNA from 1 species
UGAAUACGAGGCACUAAGGUGCUGAAGUAGUGUAUGUCAUACUUCCAAGAAAAGCUUGCACUAUCGUAAGAUAAAAAUGCCUGUACCAUAACCGACACAGGUGGGUAGGUAGAGUAUACUAAGGGGCGCGAGAUAACUCUCUCUAAGGAACUCGGCAAAAUAACUCCGUAACUUCGGGAGAAGGAGUGCCUUAUUCUAUAAGGUUGCAAUAACAAGAUCCAAGCAACUGUUUAUCAAAAACACAGGUCUCCGCUAAGUCGUAAGACGAUGUAUGGGGGCUGACGCCUGCCCAGUGCCAGAAGGUUAAAGAAGUCGGUUAGCAAUUGCGAAGCUGGUAACUGAAGCCCUGGUGAACGGCGGCCGUAACUAUAACGGUCCUAAGGUAGCGAAAUUCCUUGUCGGGUAAGUUCCGACCCGCACGAAAGGCGUAAUGAUUUGGAUACUGUCUCGGAGAGGGACUCGGUGAAAUAGACUUGUCUGUGAAGAUGCGGACUACCUGCACCAGGACAGAAAGACCCUAUGAAGCUUUACUGUAACUUGAAAUUGAAAUUGGACUUUAUUCGCGCAGUAUAGGUGGGAGGCGUUGAUUAUAAUCUUGUGGGAUUAUUGGAGCCAUUAGUGAGAUACCACUCUUGUAAUGUUAGAUUUCUAACUUUGAAUCAUGAUCUGGUCAAAGAACAGUUUCAGGCGGGCAGUUUGACUGGGGCGGUCGCCUCCUAAAUGGUAACGGAGGCGUACAAAGGUUUCCUCUGAACGGGUAGAAAUCGUAUCUAGAGUGUAAAGGCAUAAGGAAGCUUGACUGUGAGACCUACAAGUCGAGCAGGGACGAAAGUCGGUCUUAGUGAUCUGACGGUACUGAGUGGAAAGGCCGUCACUCAACGGAUAAAAGUUACUCUGGGGAUAACAGGCUGAUCUCCCCCAAGAGUUCACAUCGACGGGGAGGUUUGGCACCUCGAUGUCGGCUCAUCGCAUCCUGGGGCGGUAGUACGUCCCAAGGGUUGGGCUGUUCGCCCAUGAAAGCGGUACGCGAGCUGGGUUCAGAACGUCGUGAGACAGUUCGGUCCAUAUCCGGUGUAGGCGUUAGAAUAUUGAGAGGAGCCUUCUUUAGUACGAGAGGACCGAGAAGGACAUACCUCUGGUGUACCAGUUAUCGUGCCAACGGUAAACGCUGGGUAGCUAUGUAUGGAGUGGAUAACCGCUGAAAGCAUCUAAGUGGGAAGCCCACCUCAAGAUAAG